rnacentral:rRNA from 1 species
UACGUAGGGGGCAAGCGUUGUCCGGAGUUACUGGGCGUAAAGCGCUCGCAGGCGGUGCGAUGCGUCGGCAGUGCCAGCUUCUCGCUAAACGGGAGGAGUGCUGCCGAAACGGUCACACUUGAGGGUCAGAGAGGGACAUGGAACUCCGGGUGGAGUGGUGAAAUGCGUAGAGAUCCGGAAGAACACCAAAGGCGAAGGCAGUGUCCUGGCUGACAUCUGACGCUGAGGAGCGAGAGCUAGGGGAGCGAACAGG